UACGUAGGGUGCAAGCGUUAUCCGGAAUUAUUGGGCGUAAAGAGCUCGUAGGCGGUUUGUCGCGUCUGCCGUGAAAGUCCGGGGCUCAACUCCGGAUCUGCGGUGGUUACGGGCAGACUAGAGUGAUGUAGGGGAGACUGGAAUUCCUGGUGUAGCGGUGAAAUGCGCAGAUAUCAGGAGGAACACCGAUGGCGAAGGCAGGUCUCUGGGCAUUAACUGACGCUGAGGAGCGAAAGCAUGGGGAGCGAACAGG
rnacentral:rRNA from 1 species